rnacentral:piRNA from 1 species
UCAGGAUAUGGUGUUUCACUGGAGCAGU